AGAGCAGAAGACCAAAAAAGUGGAGAUCUAGAAGCCCAGGGAGGAGAACUUCCAGAAGGAUGGGUCAUUGGUGGGCCAUCUGCACAGAGGUAACCCGACCUCCAUGUUCUUCAGCAGCCUUUCCUCCGCCCUCCAGACUCUUCAAUUCUGUUGAUCUACUUUUCUGUUUCUGGGCCAAUACCACAUUUUAAUGAGCACAGCU